rfam:Ictidomys tridecemlineatus contig015129, whole genome shotgun sequence.
GGGGAUAUAGCUCAGUUGGUAGAGUGCUUUGCCUUACAUGUACAAAGCCUUGGGUUCAAUCCCCAGCACCACCA